rnacentral:rRNA from 1 species
CCAAUAGCGUAUAUUAAAGUUGUUGCAGUUAAAAAGCUCGUAGUUGAAUUUCGGGGUCUGUCCAUUGGUCGGGCUUCACGGUCCGUACUGGUGUGAUGGGUUCCUACCUUCUGAAUAACCAGCAUGCCAUUCAGUUGGUGCGCCGGGGAAGCAGAGCUAUUACCUUGAAAAAAUUAGAGUGCUUAAAGCAGGCUAGUGCUUGAAUAGAUUAGCAUGGAAUAAUAAAAUAGGACGGCAUGGUUCUAUUUUGUUGGUUUCUAGGAUCACCGUAAUGAUUAAUAGGGAUAGUUGGGGGCAUUAGUGUUCAACUGUCAGAGGUGAAAUUCUUGGAUUUAUUGAAGACUAACUUCUGCGAAAGCAUUUGCCAAGGAUGUUUUCAUUAAUCAAGAACGAAAGUUAGGGGAUCGAAGACGAUCAGAUACCGUCGUAGUCUUAACCAUAAACUAUGCCGACUAGGGAUCGGACGAUGUUAAUUUUUUAAUGACUCGUUCGGCGCCUUACG